AUGCUUUCCUGUUUUAGCACAUAUGCUGAAGCUAGAACACCACAGAGAAGAUUGGCAUACCCCUGCAGAAGAAGGACAUACAAAUCCAUGCAGUGUUUCAUUAUAUA